CCGAAAGCAGCGGUCGUUGGCGGUUCACCGACUCGAGCGGGGGUGAGUGGGGUUAGAUCCCGGCGGGUUUGUACCUGCGGUGAGAGAUUUAUUGGAAGAAAAACCCACAACUGGAAGCAAACCACGACUGAAGACGAGGGAACAGCAGCAAGUGAACCAGUCCAAGGACUGAGAGCAUCAACUGGAGAGAAACCCUUCUGACUCAGGGUUUCCAUUGAUUCAGUCAGGAGCAAGUCUGGAGUGCUCAGGGGAAAUACUCAUGUUACCUGUGGUUAUUGUGGCGAUGCAGAAGUUGCUGGAGAAUUUACAAGUGCGAAGUGAUAUUUGGAAAUCUGACAUUUUAAAGUGUAAUUUAGCAAGCAAAUCGCAUAUGGACAAAGUGCAAAAGCUCUGGUUAAAUAUGACAAGGAAUUUGUCUAUGGGAAUCUCGAACACAACACGCCAGUUUUGCUGUCUCUGUCCAGAUAUUUAAGAAGAGGAGCAAGGGAUUCACUCAGUCAUUUCAACUGAAGCUUUCAGUUUGUCUUUCGAAUUCGAUGAUGCCAUCCUAGCCCACCCACCUUGGCACCUGUCUCAGACAUCAUUGCAGAAUUCAGACUUUGUUAGUUUCAUUGAGAAACAGGUAAAAUAUUUUUUUUUCUUUUUGAUGUUUUAGGGGGUACAUCUAAAUUAAUCAUAUGGGAUACAUUUAGAGCAUUUUAAGGUGGUCAGAUCAUUUCUUAUUCUAACCUGAAAAAAACAGACUAAAUUAGAAUUAGAUAUGAUUACAAAACAAGUUAAAGUCCGAUAAUACUUAUGCAAUUUCCCGUAAUAUUGACUUAUUUAAACAAAGGAUGGAACUUAAAUCACAAUAUAAUUUAUUAUUAACUCAUCCUAUUGAAGGCUAUUUGCUUAAGCUAAAAAGUCAAUAUUAUAUGUUUGAGAUAAAAAUAAUAAACUGCGUGUCAAUUAAAAACGGCCAGAGCCAAAAGGCAAAUUUUGAAAAUCUGUAAGGAAGUUUGUACCCUUGCUUGGGAAUAUGAAGACAUUAAUAAGAUUUUUAUACUGAACUUUAUAAAUCUAAAUUUCCUGUCGAUUCUUCUAAAAUGAAUUUUUUUUUACGAAAGAUUGUUUUU